rnacentral:lncRNA from 1 species
AUUCAGGUGGGCCUAGUGGAAUCAGGUGCGUUCCUAAAAGUGAAAGAGGGAAGCAGAGAUGUAGUCCGUCAAAGAUGUGACUGUGGAGGAAAGGCACAAAGAAUGCAACAUUACUGGCUUUAAAGAUGGAAGUGGGGCCGUGAGAUAAGGAAUGCAGGUAGCCUCUUGAAGCUGGAAAAGGAAGAUUAGCCCUGAGCUAACUGCUGCCAAUCCUCCUCUUUUUUUGCUGAGGAAGUCUGGCCCUGAGCCAACAUCCAUGCCCAUCUUCCUCUACUCUACAUGUGGGACACCUACCACAGCAUGGCUUCCCAAGCAGUGCCAUGUCCACCCCCGAGAUCUGAACCUGCCAUCCCUGGGCCACCGAUGCAGAACAUGCGAACUUAGCUGUUGUGCCACUGGGCCGGCCCCAUUGUGUUUUAAUGUUAUAUAAAAUUUAUGUUAUUUUUGCAAGCUAUAGAUCUGUUCAAAAUAGAGGCUUCUAUUCCUAAUUUUUUGGAAUAUUUUCUUCAUUCACUUACUUAUUCACUCAAUGACUUAGUGAAUAUUACAGAGUGCUUACCUAGUAUGUGCCAGAUACUUUUAUCAGAAUUUAAAAAUGAAUGUAUGACUCUAGAGAUGAUUUAAUUUUUUAAAUUGUUUCAUGUGAAAAUGAUAGGGCCAAUCUUUAUAAGCAAAAAUACCUGUUGAUCCUAUUUUAUCUCUUGCAA